rnacentral:rRNA from 1 species
AUACCGGGCCUUUUUGGGCUUGGUAAUUGGAAUGAGGGAGAGUUAAACGGACCAUCGAGUAUCCAUUGGAGGGCAAGUCUGGUGCCAGCAGCUGCGGUAAUACCAGCUCCAAUAGCGUAUAUUAAAGUUGUUGCAGUUAAAAAGCUCGUAGUUGGACUUGUGUGCGCUGUCCGCGGGUGGCCUGCGCCCAAAAGGGCGUUUCGGUUCGGCCCCGGUGGCGCCUUGAAAUCUGCAGCUGGGGGGACGUUGGCCUUAACUGGUCGGCGACCGCACGCCGGCUGCUCGGUUACUGUGAGAAAAUUAGAGUGUUCAAGGCAGGCAUUGGGUGCAAUUGAAUACAUUAGCAUGGAAUAAUAAAAUAUGGCUCCUGCCGUAUUUUGUUGGUUUUGACUGGUGGGAGUAAUGAUUGAUAGGGACGGUUGGGGGUGCUAGUAUUGAGCGGCCAGAGGUGAAAUUCAUGGAUUCGCUCAAGACUAACUUAUGCGAAAGCAUUCACCAAGGACGUCCUCUUUAAUCAAGAACGAAAGUUGGGGGAUCGAAGACGAUCAGAUACCGUCGUAGUCUCAACCAUAAACUAUGUCGACUUGGGAUCGGCGGUAGUUUUUUCAUUAAGACACUGUCGGGACCACGGGAGAAAUCAAAGUGUCUGGACUCUGGGGGAAGUAUGGUCGCAAGGCUGAAACUUGAAGGAAUUGACGGAAGGGCACCACCAGGAGUGGAGCCUGCGGCUUAAUUUGACCAACACGGGGAAACUUACCAGGUCCAGAGAUGUAGAGGAUUGACAGAUUGAAGCUCUUUCUUGAUCACUUCGGUGGUGGUGCAUGGCCGUUCUUAGUUGGUGGAGUGAUUUGUCUGGUUAAUUCCGUUAACGAACGAGACCUCAGCCUGCUAGUGUAGUCGGCUGGAUUGCCUUUGGCGAUCCGUGAUUUCGACUUCUUAGAGGGACAAUCGACGCGCAGUCGAUGGAAGUUUGAGGCAAUAACAGGUCUGUGAUGCCCUUAGAUGUUCUGGGCCGCACGCGCGCUACACUGCUGGGCUCAGCGAGUUUUACUUGGCCGAGAGGCCCGGUUAAUCUUGUGAAAUCCCAGCGUGCUUGGGCUCGCCUCCUGCAACUGGGGGCGCCAACGAGGAAUUCCUAGUAGACGCAGGCCAUCAACCUGCAUCGAUUACGUCCCUGCCCUUUGUACACACCGCCCGUCGUUCCAUAAGAGUGAGGCAUCCGGUGAAUUCUCGGGAGAGCCUGGGCGUGGCCAGCAAUGGUCUGCUCGGGUUUGAACUUGCAUAAACUUGGUGCCUAUGAUUAGGG